UACGUAGGCAGCAAGCGUUGUUCGGAGUUACUGGGCGUAAAGGGUGUGUAGGCGGUUGUUUAAGUUUGGUGUGAAAUCUCCCGGCUCAACUGGGAGGGUGCGCCGAAUACUGAAUGACUCGAGUGCGGGAGAGGAGAGUGGAAUUCCUGGUGUAGCGGUGAAAUGCGUAGAUAUCAGGAGGAACACCGGCGGCGAAGGCGGCCCUCUGGAUCGUUGCUGACGCUGAGACGCGAAAGCGUGGGGAGCAAACAGG
rnacentral:rRNA from 1 species